rnacentral:misc_RNA from 1 species
UGGCUCUCGCAUCGAUGAAGAACGCAGCGAAAUGCGAUAAGUAAUGUGAAUUGCAGAAUUCAGUGAAUCAUCGAAUCUUUGAACGCACCUUGCGCUCCUUGGUAUUCCGAGGAGCAUGCCUGUUUGAGUGUCUUGAAAUCAUCAACCCCUUCCGUUUCGUGCGGGACGUGGGUUGGAGCUGGGGGACCGCGGUCGCAAGGCCGCUCCCCUCAAAUGCGUCGGUUGGGCCUGCGGGUCGGACUUGGUUGGGCGUUGUACCAUCCUCGCUCCUCUCUGAGACCGGUUUCCCCGUCUACUUGUGUGCCCGCCUUCGACUGCCGAUGCUAGUGGCGGUCAAGCAAACUUUGAAAUCUGACCUCAAAUCAGGUAGGACUACCCGCUGA